UACGUAGGGUGCGAGCGUUGUCCGGAAUUAUUGGGCGUAAAGAGCUUGUAGGCGGUCUGUCGCGUCUGCUGUGAAAAUCCGGGGCUCAACCCCGGACUUGCAGUGGGUACGGGCAGACUAGAGUGUGGUAGGGGAGACUGGAAUUCCUGGUGUAGCGGUGAAAUGCGCAGAUAUCAGGAGGAACACCCAUGGCGAAGGCAGCUCUCUGGUCGACC
rnacentral:rRNA from 1 species